AACUUUUCCCAGACUUCUGGCAAAGAUUUUCUUUUUCUUGGGAGUUUUAGUUGCUGUGCUGCCAACGUCGUGUUCCACCAUCAUCCUGUUCCAGAAUUCAUACCUUGGCUGCCUUGAGGGCAGGGCCAGGAAAGAACCAAGGAAAACAACAAGGUUUGCCUCUACACUGUCUGGCUGGAAUGAUCUCUUUUUGCCACCUUUUAAACAGGAUGAUAGUUUGGGAGAACGAUGCCUACCGUACAACUCUAUGACUGGGACUUUCCUGAGUCAAACCUGGGAGUAUAAAGAGGAAAUAAAAAUGAGCAACUCCAGUGCACACAGGUCCAGGUCAAGACCUCGUCCACGUUCCCUUAGUCGAAGCAGUGAAAGGUCCAGUCACAGAAGAACCCGAAGUCGAUCUCGGGACAGAGAGCGGCGUAAAGGCAGAGAUAAAGAGAAAAGAGAAAAGGAGAAGGACAAAGUCAAGGACAAAGAAUUGCACAACAUCAAGCGUGGGUAAGUUGAAGCAGAUCUUAUGCAGUGAUGACUGAUUCCAUGGCAAUAUUCAAACUAUAGCUAUCUAUGUAGAUAGAUAGAUAUAUAGAUACAUCUGGGGUAUAGAUACACCCCAGAUGGUACUGGGGUUUGAAUUCAAGGCUUUGUGCUUGCUAGGCAGGUAAUCCACCACUUCAGCCAUGCCUCCAGCUCUUUUUUCUCUAGUUAUUUUGGAAAUAGUGUGUUGCUUUUUGUUCAGGCCAGUCUGGACCACGAUCCUCCUAUUUAAUUCUUCGCAGUAUAGCUGGGAUGAUAAGCUCCUGCCUCCAUGCCCAACAGUUGGUUGAGAUGGCAUCUCGUGAAUGUUUUGCCUGGGCUGGCCUAAAACCAUGAUCCUUCAAACCUCAGUCACUCCGUAGCUGGGAUUGUAGAUGUCAACCACUGGCACUCAGCUCAGACUGUAUUUUCUUUCUCUAAGGCUUGUUGUUUUUCCAACCUUGUGGCUAAACUGCUGUAAGAGUGGAAGAAGGUAAAUAAAAGAGGAGAAUAAUACA
rnacentral:lncRNA from 1 species